rnacentral:rRNA from 1 species
GCGCAGGCUAACACAUGCAAGUCGAGCGGAUGACGGGAGCUUGCUCUUGAUUCAGCGGCGGACGGGUGAGUAAUGCCUAGGAAUCUGCCUGGUAGUGGGGGACAACGUUUCGAAAGGAACGCUAAUACCGCAUACGUCCUACGGGAGAAAGCAGGGGACCUUCGGGCUUGCGCUAUCAGAUGAGCCUAGGUCGGAUUAGCUAGUUGGUGGGGUAAUGGCUCACCAAGGCGACGAUCCGUAACUGGUCUGAGAGGAUGAUCAGUCACACUGGAACUGAGACACGGUCCAGACUCCUACGGGAGGCAGCAGUGGGGAAUAUUGGACAAUGGGCGAAAGCCUGAUCCAGCCAUGCCGCGUGUGUGAAGAAGGUCUUCGGAUUGUAAAGCACUUUAAGUUGGGAGGAAGGGCAGUAAGCUAAUACCUUGCUGUUUUGACGUUACCGACAGAAUAAGCACCGGCUAACUCUGUGCCAGCAGCCGCGGUAAUACAGAGGGUGCAAGCGUUAAUCGGAAUUACUGGGCGUAAAGCGCGCGUAGGUGGUUUGUUAAGUUGGAUGUGAAAGCCCCGGGCUCAACCUGGGAACUGCAUCCAAAACUGGCAAGCUAGAGUACGGUAGAGGGU